rnacentral:rRNA from 1 species
AGUCGAGGGGCAGCAUGGUCUUAGCUUGCUAAGGCCGAUGGCGACCGGCGCACGGGUGAGUAACACGUAUCCAACCUGCCGUCUACUCUUGGACAGCCUUCUGAAAGGAAGAUUAAUACAAGAUGGCAUCAUGAGUCCACAUGUUCACAUGAUUAAAGGUAUUCCGGUAGACGAUGGGGAUGCGUUCCAUUAGAUAGUAGGCGGGGUAACGGCCCACCUAGUCUUCGAUGGAUAGGGGUUCUGAGAGGAAGGUCCCCCACAUUGGAACUGAGACACGGUCCAAACUCCUACGGGAGGCAGCAGUGAGGAAUAUUGGUCAAUGGGCGAGAGCCUGAACCAGCCAAGUAGCGUGAAGGAUGACUGCCCUAUGGGUUGUAAACUUCUUUUAUAAAGGAAUAAAGUCGGGUAUGCAUACCCGUUUGCAUGUACUUUAUGAAUAAGGAUCGGCUAACUCCGUGCCAGCAGCCGCGGUAAUACGGAGGAUCCGAGCGUUAUCCGGAUUUAUUGGGUUUAAAGGGAGCGUAGAUGGAUGUUUAAGUCAGUUGUGAAAGUUUGCGGCUCAACCGUAAAAUUGCAGUUGAUACUGGAUAUCUUGAGUGCAGUUGAGGCAGGCGGAAAUUCGUGGUGUAGCGGUGAAAUGCUUAGAUAUCACGAAGAACUCCGAUUGCGAAGGCAGCCUGCUAAGCUGCAACUGACAUUGAGGCUCGAAAGUGUGGGUAUCAAACAGGAUUAGAUACCCUGGUAGUCCACACGGUAAACGAUGAAUACUCGCUGGUUGCGAUAUACAGCAAGCCGGCCAAGCGAAAGCGUUAAGUAUUCCACCUGGGGAGUACGCCGGCAACGGUGAAACUCAAAGGAAUUGACGGGGGCCCCGCACAAGCCGAGGAACAUGUGGUUUAAUUCGAUGAUACGCGAGGAACCUUACCCGGGCUUAAAUUGCAGAUGAAUUACGGUGAAAGCCGUAAGCCGCAAGGCAUCUGUGAAGGUGCUGCAUGGUUGUCGUCAGCUCGUGCCGUGAGGUGUCGGCUUAAGUGCCAUAACGAGCGCAACCCUUGUUGUCAGUUACUAACAGGUUCCGCUGAGGACUNUGACAAGACUGCCAUNGUAAGAUGUGAGGAAGGUGGGGAUGACGUCAAAUCAGCACGGCCCUUACGUCCGGGGCUACACACGUGUUACAAUGGGGGGGUACAGAGGGCCGCUACCACGCGAGUGGAUGCCAAUCCCAAAAACCUCUCUCAGUUCGGACUGGAGUCUGCAACCCGACUCCACGAAGCUGGAUUCGCUAGUAAUCGCGCAUCAGCCACGGCGCGGUGAAUACGUUCCCGGGCCUUGUACACACCGCCCGUCAAGCCAUGGGAGCCGGGGGUACCC